rnacentral:lncRNA from 1 species
CCAGAUCUGGCCCUGCCACUACCAGAGCUGAUCGGCGUCUGCACGGCGGCUAGGACGGGAGGGGGGGGAGGGGGGAGGCGGAGGUGUGGCGGUGGCGGCCAGAGCCAGCUGGGCCUGCGCUUGGCCGUGUGGGUGGUCGGGAGGGUGGUGGGGAGCGGCAAGGCGUCGGCGAUGGAAUCCCUCUGGAAGGUGGUAGGGGCGGCGAAGCACGGCGGUGGCCCAGUGGCGGCGAUGGCCCGGCAGCUCCCGUCGGCGCUGGCGACCCUAGGGGCAGCGACAGUUCCCGUCGGUGCCAGUGGCCCUAGGGACAGCGGCGGGUCCCGUUGGUGCCGCCUAGGACAGCGACAGUUCGAGCACUGUGAAUCCGAUGAAGUGGAAGCCGAUCCGUCGGUUCGUGUAUGGUUGGCUAGUUCCGGCUAA